GGGGAGAUUCCAGAGCGGCCAAAUGGGACGGACUGUAAAUCCGUUGCGAGAGCUUCGAAGGUUCGAAUCCUUCUCUCCCCACCA
rnacentral:tRNA from 2 species